rnacentral:rRNA from 1 species
UACGUAGGGAGCAAGCGUUGUCCGGAAUCAUUGGGCGUAAAGCGCGCGUAGGUGGCUCUAUAAGUCCGUUGUGAAAGUCAAAGGCUCAACCUUUGAAAGCCGAUGGAUACUGUAGAGCUAGAGUCCGGAAGAGGCGAGUGGAAUUCCUGGUGUAGCGGUGGAAUGCGCAGAUAUCAGGAGGAACACCAAUAGCGAAGGCAGCUCGCUGGGACGUGACUGACACUAAGGCGCGAAGGCGUGGGGAGCGAACAGG